AUGGCCCGUACCCUAAACCGACACAGGUGGUCAGGUUGAAAAUACUAAGGCGUUCGGGUGAACUGUGGUUAAGGAACUCGGCAAAAUGCCCCCGUAACUUCGGGAGAAGGGGGACCACACGACUUAAACCAGCCUUUGCGUUGGUGGUGGGUUGUGGGGUCGCAGAGAAUAGAGGGAAGCGACUGUUUAUCAAAAACACAGGUCCAUGCGAAGACGUUAAGUUGAUGUAUAUGGACUGACGCCUGCCCGGUGCUGGAAGGUUAAGAGGACCGGUUAGUAGUCUUUUGACUGCGAAGCUGAGAAUUUAAGCCCCAGUAAACGGCGGUGGUAACUAUAACCAUCCUA
rnacentral:rRNA from 1 species